UACGGGGGGGGCAAGCGUUGUUCGGAAUUACUGGGCGUAAAGGGUGCGUAGGUGGUUUGAUAAGUUGUCUGUGAAAUUCCUGGGCUUAACCUGGGCAUGUCAGAUGAUACUGUUAGACUAGAGUAUAGGAGAGGGUAGUGGAAUUUCCGGUGUAGCGGUGAAAUGCGUAGAGAUCGGAAGGAACACCAGUGGCGAAGGCGGCUACCUGGCCUAAUACUGACACUGAGGCACGAAAGCGUGGGGAGCAAACAGG
rnacentral:rRNA from 1 species